rnacentral:rRNA from 1 species
UACGGAGGGUGCAAGCGUUAUCCGGAUUCACUGGGUUUAAAGGGUGCGUAGGUGGGUCUGUAAGUCAGUGGUGAAAUCUCCGAGCUUAACUCGGAAACUGCCAUUGAUACUAUAGAUCUUGAAUUUUCUGGAGGUAAGCGGAAUAUGUCAUGUAGCGGUGAAAUGCUUAGAUAUGACAUAGAACACCAAUUGCGAAGGCAGCUUACUACAGGAACAUUGACACUGAGGCACGAAAGCGUGGGGAUCAAACAGG